UAAUGCAAAUUUCAGCGUACCACCAAACUCACAGGAGUCAAACGAGACGUCGAAAACUGAGUCAGCUGCAGAUGUGGGCCGCGUGGCGCCACCACCGCACCCUACUCUCUCACAUCUGCGCAAGAUGCUGACCGGGGUCCAUUUUCUCCUUUUACGAAAUUGUAAACACCUGCCUUUGUCUUAUGUGUUGGGGUCAGCAUCUCUGAGAUGAGUAUAAAACGCGAGCCUGGCCCAGUGGGUGGUCAUUCGUAACAUGUCCAGCACUUCGACCACCGACUCGCAUCGCAAAUAACCAGCAGGAUGCUGCACCCAAAGGACUCCAGAGAGUAGCCGCCGGGGGAGGCCCCCCGAAAUCUCUCGAGCCGCAUAUCGCGGCCUGGGCCCGACAACGACGGUGCAGCACCACGAACGAUGAUGACGCCAUCGGCCGCAGGCCACAGGGCCGCCGCUACAGGAGCGUGGGGGACAGCGCACAGCCCCUCGAGGAGCACCAGGCAACCAGGCGGAGCAGCUGCCUGACGACGACCGUCAUGACAGCCGUCUUCUGUUUCAUCUCGAGCGGUCAUCAUCGAAGUCAGCACCGUUAUCAUCUCAUCAUUAUCAUCAUCUCAUCAUCAUAUCAUCAUCAUCAUCAUCAUCAUCAUCUCAUCAUCAUCAUAAUUCUCAUGGUCAUUAUCCUCAUGCCAUCAUCAUCGCAUUAUUUUCACAGACCAUUUUCACCUCUUAAAUCAGUGUCUCUCAUCCAUUCGACCAUCCCCGACUCGCCCCACUCUCAUCUUUUUCAUCUCAUUCAUUAUCACCAAAAUCAUCCCCGACUUUUCUUCAUUCAAUUAAUUGCACUAUCAUUAUCAAAUCCAAAUUUAAAAACAGCAGAACUUUGGAAAUUGUUUUUAAAAUUUUUCGAAAAAAUUAAUCUAAGAUGCUCUGAUGUUUGAUUUCAUCUAGUCCUUAUAAUGAUAUGUUUGUGUCUCGGUGUGCUUCAACCCCUCAUCAAAAUAAAAGAAAUUUGAAAAGUUA